rfam:Picea glauca, whole genome shotgun sequence.
ACUUGUGACCUUUUAGGAGAAAACACAUGUUCUUAACCAUUAGAACUCCACAAUUAAGUGCGCUUAGGCUAGAUUAGUACUGGGAUGGGUGAUCUCCCGAGAAGUCCUAAUGUUUUACAUGCC